UUGUAUAUAGUUGUCAUGUAUCAGGUCGAAAUGUGAGUAAACUGCCUUUUUUUUAGAGAGAGAGAGAGAGAGAAUCAGCUAUGGCUGCCUGCUACGAGGAAUACUGUAGAUUCAAGGAAACUGUACUGAAGCAAUAACAUAGAUCCAAUGAUGCAGAAUGCAUAUUACGGAGAAACGCUAUGCUAUAUCAGAGUUGCCUAAUGCACAGGUUGAAUUCUGAAGGAGUACACCUUGCGCCAUAAUUUGUAUCAGAGUCAUGGGUUUUCUCUUCCGGGGUCCGGGCAAACUGGGAGCAUGAGAAGCAUUACAAGAUGCACACAAAGAGAAACAAUAUAACUAUCACGCUGUUUACAACAAAAUUUGUUUCCAGUAGGUUUGUUAUCCUCCCUCCAUGAGGAAAAGGAACCCAUCCAGGUUUCAGAGAAUUAUCUUUUCCACGCAACAACAGAGAGUAAAAUGGCAUAAUGGUUUUCUAACAUCUUCCAGGGCUAAAGCGCAA